GUCCGGGCUCCUCCACAAAUCAUGGAGUCAACCAGAAUGAAACUCAUGAACACAACUCUCUUCAUCCUGGUGAUGCUAACCUCUAUGAAUCCAUCACACAAGAGGAAGACACUGGAACUGGUGCAGAUGAACCUCGAGACGUCACAUACUCUCUUAUUACACUUCAAAACUUUGGAAAGAAGAGGAAGCAUCAUAAACCAGAGCAGAGUGCUGUUUACUUUGAGGUGAAGACGGGAGCUGCAGGUACAGUC